UUACGGCCAUAACACGCUGAAACAUCAGCUCUCGUAUGAUCACCAAAGUUAAGCAACGUCGAGCCCAGUUAUUACCUAGGUGGGUGACUGCUUAGGAAUACCAGUUCCUGUA